UACGGAGGGGGCUAGCGUUGUUCGGAAUUACUGGGCGUAAAGCGCACGUAGGCGGCUUCUCAAGUCAGAGGUGAAAGCCCAGGGCUCAACCCCGGAACUGCCUUUGAGACUGCAAAGCUCGAAUGCGGGAGAGGCGGGUGGAAUUCCGAGUGUAGCGGUGAAAUUCGUAGAUAUUCGGAAGAACACCAGUGGCGAAGGCGGCCCACUGGACCUGCAUUGACGCUGAGGUGCGAAAGCGUGGGGAGCAAACAGG
rnacentral:rRNA from 1 species